rfam:Ictidomys tridecemlineatus contig031705, whole genome shotgun sequence.
GGGGCUGUAACUCAAUGGUAAAGCACUUGUCUAACGUGCAAGAGACCCUGAGUUUGAUCCUCAGCACCAUCA